GAGGAAACAGGCUGAGAGAUUAAAUGCCCUGUCCAAGAUCACACAGCUCAGUGAGGGCAGAACCAGGCCUGGAAGCAGGCCUUCCUCUCAGGGAGUCCUUGCUCAUUCAUUCCCAACACAAACAUGUGCCCCAGGUCUUCCAGGGGCCAGUGCUGUGCUGUGUCCUGGCAGUGUGGUGGUGAACAGGGAAAUGGACUGGAAGUCAAGGAAGGCAAGAGUGGAAACAGAGAAAAAAGGAGCUACUGCCAUAGUCCAAGCAAAGGAUAUGGAUGCAUUAGUAAGAACCUCUGGCAAACAUCAAGACGAGUUGCCCCAUCUUUACGCUAGCCGGAAGUUGGCCUUGAGCCACAAUCUGUUUCUUCCGUUCAGAUACAGCAUUCAGAGAAAGCUGGGGGGAAAAGAAAGACUCCCUUCUUGCUUUUGUCCCUUUUAAUUAAACCAACGUGGAAGUGCACACGCCGUGCUCCAGUCCCUCCAGCGGCCCAGGCCCUGGUCCUCAGAGAGGACUGUGCGUCUGUCUCUGUCAGUUGCUCGAGUUACUACGUGAGCGCCCAAGCCGUUGUAGCCGUGAGAAUACACAUU